ensembl:lncRNA
AUGGUGGGCUCAUCCCAGAAUGUGGAGCCCUUUGCAGGCGCUCCCUCCACGCAGGAAGGAAGCGAGGGGGCUGAGGAGGGAGGAAAGCAGACUGAAGGACAGCAUUCUCUUUACAAUCCUGAGUUCAUCAUAAUGAUUGUUUUUAAAGACCUCACGGAGUUGGAGGUUUUCAUGGCCACAGUCCAUCCGCAUGUGCUGAGGUCAGAGUCACAGCUGACCAGUGAAGUCAGAAUUUCUGAAUGUAUGACCUGCUUCAUCUCCCCAGGUAAGCUGGACGGGCAGUCAGGGCUGGACAUCCUGCUCUGAGGCGCCAACCCACCUAGCAUCAGGCCAGGUGGGCCUCCCACACCAUAUAGUAACUGUGAUUGUAGGGAGAUGGACUUGCACUGGGCAGCUCUGAUGCUGCAUUGAACAUUACAGUGAAGCCAGGUACCGUGGCUCACGCCUGGAAUCCCAGCACUUUGGGUGGCUGAGGCAGGCAGAUCACUUGAGGUCAGGAGUUCCAGACCAGCCUGGCCAACAUAGUGAAAUCCUGUCUGUACUAAAAAUACAAAAAUGAGCUGGUUGUGGUGGUGUGCGCCUGUGAUCCCAGCUACUCAGGAGCUGAGGCAGGAGAGUCACUUGAACCCGGGAGGCAGAGGUUGCACUGAGCUGAGAUCACCACUGCACUCCAGCCUGGGUGACAGAGCGAGACUCUAUCUCAAAAAAAAAGAAAAAGAAAGAAAGAAAGAGAAAGUUACGGUGUAGGUGUGGGGCCUUGCUAAGGUCAGAAUCCCCAUGUGAACGCUGAACCAUCGAACGGGGAGGUGAAACCGGGACGGACGGACCCAUGCUGCGUGUGUGAGUGCAAACACCCUUUAAUCCAGUCUCGUACAACAGGAUAGCAACACCGAUGGAUUAUGCAAAAAAUAGUUGUAGUUCAAUGAAAGCCUGAUUUAUAAGAAAUGGAGUAACAGGGGAAUAGGAAAUGAAACUUACUGCAUUUCUCAUACAAGCAAAAAUGUUUCCCGGAAUCCUCUUGGCACCAGCCCCAGGUGUGUCUUGCCAACUGAAUCUGCUCUGAAUUUAAGGUACAAAGUUUGCGUUAUGGCGUAUGGACAGACGGGCAGCGGGAAGACCUACACCUUGCUGGGAUCCCAUGAGGAUGAUAACCCUGUCCUGCCGCUCCUCCCACAGAGGGACUUAGGAAUUAUCCCCAGAGCGGCUGAGGAGCUCUCCAGGUACCACUGAUGGUGAUGAGUGGGGCAGAGAACUAUGGCACAGAAGCCAGGCCGGCGGCACCUUGGCCAUUCAAAGAAACUGCUCCAACCCCAUAAUCUCCCCAGAGAUUAGCUACAUUCAACACUAGCAAGCGAUUCCGGACUUCUGGGCAUUAUUCCUACAAAUUCCUGUGAUGAAAUUACGUUGAAAUUCUAUCAUGAAGACAAACUUUUUUUAUUUUUCAAUUUUUUUUGAGACAAGGUCUCGCUUUAUCCCCCAGGCUGGAGUGCAGUGGCACAAUCUCGGCUCACUGCAACUUCCACCUCCUGGGUUUAAGAGAUUCUCCUGCCUGAGCCUCCUGGGUAGCUGUAAUUAUAGGCGUACGCCACCACACCUGACUAAUUUUUGUAAUUUUAGUAGAGAUGGAGUUUCAUCAUGUUGACCAGGCUAGUCUCGAACUCCUGACAUCAGGUGAGCCACCGCCUCAGCUUCCCAGAGUGCUGGGAUUACAGGCGUGAGCCACUGUGCCUGGCCAAGGCAAAACUUCUUGAAAGAGAUCCCGAGAUGGUGGGGAAUGGUGGGGGGGGAUGGUGGGGGGUG